rnacentral:rRNA from 1 species
GGGUCAGUAGGUUGGUCGUGCCACCGGUACGUACUGGUCUCACUGAUUCCUCCUUCCUGAAGAACCGUAAUGCCACUAAUUUGGUGUUGCGGGGAAACAGGACUAUUACUUUGAAAAAAUUAGAGUGUUUAAAGCAAGCUAACGCUUGAAUACAUUAGCAUGGAAUAAUGAAAUAGGACGAUCGAUCCUAUUUUGUUGGUUUCUAGGAUUGACGUA